rnacentral:rRNA from 1 species
GAAUUUUAUAUAUUUUUAUUUAAUAAAAUUUAUAUUGAAAUAGAUAAAAAGAUAUUUUAUUGGGAGGAUAGUUAAAUAUUAAAAACUUUAAUUAAAAUUUAAAUAUAAAUUAAUAAAUUUAAGAAUGGUUAAAUAAAUUAAUUAAGAAUUAAUUACCUUAGGGAUAACAGCGUAAUAUUUUUGGAGAGUUCAUAUUGAUAAAAAUGUUUGC